rnacentral:rRNA from 1 species
UACGUAGGGUGCAAGCGUUGUCCGGAAUUAUUGGGCGUAAAGAGCUCGUAGGCGGUCUGUCGCGUCGGCUGUGAAAACCCGCGGCUCAACCUCGGGCCUGCAGUCGAUACAGGCAGACUAGAGUGCGGUAGGGGAGACUGGAAUUCCUGGUGUAGCGGUGAAAUGCGCAGAUAUCAGGAGGAACACCGGUGGCGAAGGCGGGUCUCUGGGCCGAUACUGACGCUGAGGAGCGAAAGCGUGGGGAGCGAACAGG